CCCUAUACCGCCGGGUUUUCUCCCAGCGUCAGGCCCGAUGGCUCGGCUUCCCCAGUUAGAAGGGGAAGAUAAAAGACUUUGAUUCAUGAAGAAUCUGCUCACUGAGAAGUGUAUAUCAAGCCACAAUUUCCAUCAAAAAGUGAUUAAGCAGAGAAUGGAGAAGAAGGUUGAUUCCAGGUAUUUUAAGGAUGGUGCAGUUAAGAAACCUUAUUCUACAAAGACACUGUCCAACAAGAAGUCUUCUGCAUCCUUUGGGAUCCGGAGGGAGUUACCUAGUACCAGUCAUCUAGUGCAGUAUUGUGGCACACAUACUUGUACCCGACAGGGCCGGUUAAGAGAACUGCGCAUCAGAUGCGUGGCCAGAAAGUUCUUAUAUUUAUGGAUUCGAAUGACUUUUGGAAGAGUAUUUCCCUCUAAAGCCAGAUUUUACUAUGAGCAGCAAUUACUACGGAAGGUCUUCGAAGAAUGGAAAGAAGAGUGGUGGGUUUUCCAUCACGAGUGGAAACUCUGUGUUCGAGCUGACUGUCACUACAGGUAUUACCUGUAUAACCUGAUGUUCCAGACCUGGAAGACCUACGUGCGUCAGCAACAGGAGAUGAGGAACAAGUACAUUAGAGCUGAGCUUCAUGAUGCAAAGCAAAAGAUGCGACAGGCCUGGAAGUCCUGGUUGAUCUACGUGGUUGUUCGUAGGACCAAACUUCAGAUGCAGACUACGGCUCUGGAGUUUAGGCAAUGGAGUAUCUUACGGGUGUGGUGGAGCAUGUGGAGGCAGCGACUAGGACAGCUCCGCGUGAGCCAUGCCCUCCAUGCCUCUGCUUUGAAGCACAGGGCCCUGAGCCUCCAGCUGCAGGCUUGGUCACAGUGGCAGGAACAGCUCCUGUAUGUCCAGAAGGAGAAACAGAAGGUUGUCUCUGCAGUGAAACAUCAUCAGCACUGGCAAAAGCGGAGAUUUCUAAAAGCCUGGCUUGAAUACCUGCAAGUCCGCAGAGUGAAGCGACAGCAGAAUGAGAUGGCUGAGCGAUUCCAUCAUGUCACUGUGCUCCAGAUACACUUCUGUGACUGGCAGCAGGCCUGGGAGCGGAGGGAGAGCUUGUACGCCCACCAUGCCCAGGUGGAGAAACUGGCCAGGAAGAUGGCCCUGCGGCGCGCCUUUACUCGCUGGAAACACUACAUGCUGCUGUGUGCAGAAGAAGCUGCCCAGUUUGAGAUGGCAGAAGAGCACCACAGGCACAGCCAGCUGUAUUUUUGCUUUAGGGCCCUAAAAGACAAUGUGACCCACGCCCAUCUCCAGCAAAUAAGAAGGAAUCUUGCUCACCAGCAGCAUGGUGUCACGCUGCUGCACAGGUUCUGGAACCUCUGGUGGUCUCAGAUUGAGCAGAAAAAGGAAAGAGAGCAGCUCCCCUUACUGCAUGCUGCCUGGGACCACUACAGGAUAGCACUGCUGUGCAAGUGUAUCAAAUUGUGGCUACAGUAUACUCGGAAGAGGCGGUACAAGCAGCUGCUACAGGCCAGAGCAGAUGGUCAUUUCCAGCAGAGAGCCCUGCCUGCUGCCUUCCACACAUGGAAUAGACUCUGGCGAUGGCGCCACCAGGAAAAUGUCCUCAAUGCAAGAGCAACACGUUUCCACAGGGAGACAUUAGAGAAGCAAGUGUUUUCUAUCUGGAGGCAGAAGAUGUUUCAGCAUCGAGAAAACCGCCUGGCAGAGAGAAUGGCCAUCCUUCACGCAGAGGGACGGCUUCUGCAUAGGUCUUGGUUCAUGUGGCACCAGCAGGCAGCAGCACGUCACCAGGAGCAGGAGUGGCAAACAGUGGCCUAUGCCCACCACUGCCACGGGCGACUCAAGAAAGCUUUCUGCCUCUGGAGAGAAAGUGCCCAAGGGCUCAGAACAGAUGCCUGGCCCUGCGGGGAGCAGAGCGGCACCACCAGCACAGUGUGCUACACGGGGCGCUGCAGGCGUGGGUGACUUACCAGGGCAGGGUGCGGAGCAUCCUCCAGGAGGUGGCAGCGAGGGAGAGCCAGCACAACAGGCAGCUGCUGCGGUGAGUCUCCCGGACGCCUCCCAAGCUCCAGCUGGGGAACAAAGAAUGCACCCCAAACCCCAGCCUUUUAGGGGGUCCUGCCGAGGGCCAGGUCGGGGAUGAUCCUGGGUUCCUAGUCGCUAAUAUCAUGGUCUUGGCUUUUCCACUUCACUCACGGCUUCGCCUUCAUUUGUCUUAAGCCCCUACUGUGUGCAGGGCGGGACCGUGGAAAGCAGCUGUCACCUGCAUGCCUUAAAGGCCUCUUGUCUUGCUCUUCUGAGCACUUUCUCCUCCCUGCUUCACACCUACAAGAUUCAGCUUUGCAAGGCACCUUGUCAUCUCUUCCACUCCAGAGGCUUCAGCGACUCCCUUUCCUGUCAAUUUCCGGGUAGUCCCCUUCCAGCUUGCUCUGUAGGCCUGUCACUGACUCUCCAGCGUCACCUCGAGGCCCUGUCAGACCAUCUGCACCGUUCACCCCUGUGGAGGGCGCUUCCGUAGCUUCUGCCACUUUCUAAGCCAAACUCUAACCUCACUCCUUCCCAGCAGUCCUCCCACAGGCCCCCUUUCAUUUCCUUCCUUUGUAUUUGUUCAGCACAUGAUACUCCUGGUGGCCUGUGGGCAGUGGGUCUCGUGGACUUUAAACACCUCAAUCCUUAGCUGGGCGCGGUGGCUCACGCCUGUAAUCCCAGCACUUUAGGAGGCUGUUUGAGACCAGGAGUUUCAGACCAGCCUGGGCAACAUAGCGAGACCUUGUCUGUACUAAAUAUAAAAAAAUUUGCUAGGCACGGUCAUGUCUGCCUGUGGUUCAGGUACUUGGGAGGCUUAGGUGGGAGGGUCACUUGAGCCUUGAAGAUCAAGGCCACAGUGAGCCGUGAUCAUGCCACUGCACUCCAGCCUGGGCGAUGGAGUGAGACCCUGUCUCUAAAAAGUAAAUAAACGUCUCCAUCCCUCAUAUGGGGUCCCAUAGAGCACCCAUCCCGCUCUUCAGACGGGGUGGAAUAAGCAAGAACUCCCUGAGCUAACUCAGCAGCAAGCUGAGGCGUAGGCAACCUUCCUCCGGGUUCCCUGCCUCUCUACACUUCUCUUAUCACAGUGUGAGUCACCUGUGUUGCCACUGCCUGGUUAUGCCCUGUUAUCCCCGUAGCACCUGGAGUUUGGUCUCCAGCAGUGCUGGGUCCCUCAUGUACUCUUGGUGCCCAGCCCAGAGCAGCUGCUCAGUGGCCAUUUGUUAGACAUAGACGUGCCGGCAAACAUGGGUGUUGGUGAAACAGACAUUCUUAGGUGUAGAGUCCCUGACUCAGGAGUAGGGGAAGAAGUAGGAAUGAUUCACAGAAGCCUUCCUUCUCUCUCCAUCCUGGUGUCGUCUGCCCUCCCCGCACCCAUGCAUCUGCAGCGGGGCAUUACGUCGCUGGAAAGAGAACACCAUGGCCCGAGUGGAUGAAGCCAAAAAAACCUUUCAAGCAAGUACUCAUUACAGAAGGACCAUAUGUUCCAAGGUCCUGGUCCAGUGGCGGGAAGCUGUGUCAGUGCAGAUAUAUUACCGACAGCAGGAGGACUGUGCCAUCUGGGAGGCCCGGAAGGUGCUGGACAGGGGCUGUCUGCGGACCUGGUUUCAGCGCUGGCGGAACUGCAGCCAGAGGUCAGCCCAGCAGAGACUGCAGCUAGAGAGGGCAGUCCAACACCACCACCGGCAGCUGCUGCUGGAGGGGCUGGCCCGGUGGAAGAUGCACCAUCGGGAGUGUGUCAGGAAGAGGCUCCUGCAUAGGCAGAGCACCCAACUCCUGGCACAGAGACUCAGCCGGACCUGCUUCCGCCAGUGGAGACAACAGCUGGCAGCCAGGAGGCAGGAGCAGUGGGCGACAGUGCGGGCCCUGUGGUUCUGGGCCUUCUCGCUACAGGCAAAGGUGUGGGCCACGUGGCUGGCCUUUGUACUGGAAAGGAGGAGAAAGAAGGCGCGGCUGCAGCGGGCGCUGCAGGCCUACCAGGGGCAGCUCCUCCAGGAGGGUGCCACGCGGCUCCUGCGCUUUGCAGCCAGCAUGAAGGCCUCCCGGCAGCAGCUGCAGGCCCAGCAGCAGGUCCAGGUAGGCCCAGGGCCCCUUCCUGUGGGGAGCAGGCAGGGUGUGGCAUGAGCUGACCAGAGGCUGUGUUGUAGGCGGCUCACAGUCUCCAUCGUGCCGUCCGCCGCUGUGCUACGCUCUGGAAACAGAAAGUGCUGGGCCGGGGCGGGAAGCCUCAGCCCCUGGCAGCCAUCGCACCCAGCGGGAAAGUGACGUUUGAGGGUCCCCUUCUCAACCGCAUUGCUGCUGGGGCUGGGGAUGCCACCCUUGAGACCAAGAGGCCGCAGGCUCCUUGGCCUCAGGGAGCUCUGGGCCGCCUGGCUGCUGAGGAGCCCCACGCCUUGGAGCUCAACACUGCCCACUCAGCGAGGAAGCAGCCACGACGCCCACACUUCCUGCUGGAGCCUGCGCAGAGCCAGAGGCCUCAGAAGCCACAGGAACAUGGCCUAGGCAUGGCUCAGCCAGCAGCCCCCUCCCUGACGCGGCCCUUCCUGGCAGAGGCCCCGACAGCACUGGUCCCACACAGCCCCCUGCCAAGCACCCCUGGCCUGAAGCAGCCCCCGACGGCAAGCACAGGCCCGGAGCUGCUGCUGCUGCCUCCUUCCUCCUUCAUGUCCUGCGGGGCGGCUGCACCAGCCAGGUUGUCAGCACAGCCGGCUACUCCUAGGGAUAAGCCCCCGGUCCCCUCAUCCCUGGCCAGUGUCCCUGACCCCCAUCUACUCCUUCCUGGGGACUUCUCAGCCACCAGGGCUGGGCCUGGACUUUCAACUGCAGGCAGCCUGGACCUUGAGGCUGAACUUGAGGAGAUCCAGCAGCAACUACUGCACUACCAGACCACCAAGCAGAACCUCUGGUCCUGCCGACGGCAAGCGAACAGCCUGCGCAGGUGGCUGCAGCUGAGCAGAGAGGAGCCGGGGUCUGAGGACCAGGAAGUAGAGCAGCAGGUGCAGAAAGAGCUGGAACAGGUGGAAAUGCAGAUCCAGCUGCUGGCAGAGGAGCUCCAGGCUCAGCGCCAGCCCAUUGGCACCUGCGUUGCCCGCAUCCAGGCCCUGCGGCAGGCCCUGUGCUAGCGUGUUCGCCCCAGGAACGCAGGUGCUGGGCUGUCGGGGAGGCCUCAGGCCACAUCCAGAACAGAACACAAAGUUUUAAGUUUGAUUUUUUUAUUUCAAAAUGUUUUGCAAUUAAAUGAAUUACUGUUCA
rnacentral:sRNA from 1 species